rnacentral:rRNA from 1 species
AGUGAACGCUGGCGGUAGGCCUAACACAUGCAAGUCGAACGGCAGCACAGUAAGAGCUUGCUCUUACGGGUGGCGAGUGGCGGACGGGUGAGUAAUACAUCGGAAUCUACUUUUUCGUGGGGGAUAACGUAGGGAAACUUACGCUAAUACCGCAUACGACCUACGGUUGAAAGCAGGGGAUCUUCGGACCUUGCGCGAUUGAAUGAGCCGAUGUCGGAUUAGCUAGUUGGCGGGGUAAAGGCCCACCAAGGCGACGAUCCGUAGCUGGUCUGAGAGGAUGAUCAGACACACUGGAACUGAGACACGGUCCAGACUCCUACGGGAGGCAGCAGUGGGGAAUAUUGGACAAUGGGCGCAAGCCUGAUCCAGCCAUACCGCGUGGGUGAAGAAGGCAUUCGGGUUGUAAAGCCCUUUUGUUGGGAAAGAAAAGCAGCAGGUUAAUACCCCGCUGUUCUGAAGGUACCCAAAGAAUAAGCACCGGCUAACUUCGUG